CGCUGGCGGCAUGCCUCACACAUGCAAGUCGAACGGGGUAUAAUUAAGAGCUUGCUUUUGAUUAUACCUAGCUGGCGGACGGGUGAGUAACGCGUGGGCAACCUACCCUACAGACCGGGAUACCAUCGGGAAACUGAUGUUAAUACCGGAUACACUUAACAUAGGGCAUCCUAUGUUAAGGAAAGAUUUAUCGCUGUAGGAUGGGCCUGCGUUCCAUUAGCUAGUUGGUAGGGUAACGGCCUACCAAGGCGACGAUGGAUAGCUGGUCUGAGAGGACGAUCAGCCACACUGGGACUGAGACACGGCCCAGACUCCUACGGGAGGCAGCAGUGGGGGAUAUUGCACAAUGGGCGAAAGCCUGAUGCAGCGACGCCGCGUGCGGGAUGACGGCCUUCGGGUUGUAAACCGCUUUCAGCAGGGAAGAAGCGCAAGUGACGGUACCUGCAGAAGAAGCGCCGGCUAACUACGUGCCAGCAGCCGCGGUAAUACGUAGGGCGCGAGCGUUAUCCGGAAUUAUUGGGCGUAAAGAGCUCGUAGGCGGUUUGUCGCGUCUGCUGUGAAAGCCCGGGGCUUACCCCGGGUGUGCAGUGGGUACGGGCAGACUAGAGUGCAGUAGGGGAGACUGGAAUUCCUGGUGUACCGGUGAAAUGCGCAAAUAUCAGGAGGAAC
rnacentral:rRNA from 1 species